GACGAACGCUGGCGGCGUGCUUAACACAUGCAAGUCGAACGGCAGCACGGGUGCUUGCACCUGGUGGCGAGUGGCGAACGGGUGAGUAAUACAUCGGAACGUACCUUAUCGUGGGGGAUAACGCAGCGAAAGCUGUGCUAAUACCGCAUACGCCCUGAGGGGGAAAGCGGGGGAUCGAAAGACCUCGCGCGAUUAGAGCGGCCGAUGCCUGAUUAGCUUGUUGGUGGGGUAAAAGCCCACCAAGGCGACGAUCAGUAGCUGGUCUGAGAGGGGGAUCAGCCACACUGGGACUGGGACACGGCCCAGACUCCUACGGGAGGCAGCAGUGGGGAAUUUUGGACAAUGGGGGCAACCCUGAUCCAGCAAUGCCGCGUGAGUGAGGAAGGCCUUCGGGUUGUAAAGCUCUUUUGUCAGGGAAGAAACACCGGCUCUAACACAGUCCGGGAAUGACGGAACCUGAAGAAUAAGCACCGGCUAACUACGUGCCAGCAGCCGCCGUAA
rnacentral:rRNA from 1 species